rnacentral:rRNA from 1 species
CCUACGGGAGGCAGCAGUGAGGAAUAUUGGUCAAUGGGCGCGAGCCUGAACCAGCCAAGUCGCGUGAGGGAAGACGGUCCUCUGGAUUGUAAACCUCUUUUGUCGGGGAGCAAAAGACGCCACGCGUGGCGUUCCGAGAGUACCCGAAGAAAAAGCAUCGGCUAACUCCGUGCCAGCAGCCGCGGUAAUACGGAGGAUGCGAGCGUUAUCCGGAUUUAUUGGGUUUAAAGGGUGCGCAGGCGGCAGAUCAAGUCAGCGGUAAAAUUGGGAGGCUCAACCUCUUCGAGCCGUUGAAACUGGUGUUCUUGAGUGAGCGAGAAGUAUGCGGAAUGCGUGGUGUAGCGGUGAAAUGCAUAGAUAUCACGCAGAACUCCGAUUGCGAAGGCAGCAUACCGGCGCUCAACUGACGCUCAUGCACGAAAGUGUGGGUAUCGAACAGGAUUAGAUACCCGGGUAGUC